GUGGGAUGCUGUGAAUCUCAGCCACAAAGUGGAUGACUUAGCCCUGGAUCCAAAAACCCUAAGUUUGCAUGUUAAGACCAAAUGAAGAUUACACUGCAAAGGAAAAUGGACCCGUUUAACAAGAGCUAAAUUAAAAGGCACACUGUUCAGAGAAACAGACUUCAAGAUGAGGGAGUGAAUGUUGCCAAUGACAUACAUACUCUAAAGGAUUUCAUGAUAGACUGCAGUCCUCAAGCAUUUAGGACGGAAGAAAUGAACACUAUCGAGAAAUGAUACCUGUCGGCAAGAAGGCCAUACUGGGGUGAACUGUUCCGUUCACACAACACAGCCCAAGCCAAGCAACGAAGCCACCAAUCACAGCAGGCCAAGGAGGGGGACGGGAGCAGAGAGCAGGUCAUCAACGGCGACAAGGACAUUCAGUGAUGCAGAUAUAUGGGCCCCACAGUUUGGGUUUUGUUUUUUUUGUUUUUUUUUUUGUUUUUUUUUUGCAAUCAAAGCCAAGUGCAGACAACGACAAGCAUGAGGGAGAAAAAAAAACACAAAACAAACGAAGAAAUGAGGGAUUGCAAGACAACAAAAAACAUAAAAGCAAGACAGAACAACACAAAGCAGAAAGCCAAGGCAAAGCACAGAUUAGCAUUAAAUAUCUCAAAUGGGAUCACAAGUAGCAAAUGAUUACUGCAAAUAAAAGCAGAAGUUUCAAUUACACAGACCCAUAUCCUUUCAUUUCAGCAAUUAACACUAUGUGAUGUAAAUAAUCAAAAGGAGGAAGAAGGAUAAAUACACCAGGGAGAGAAGAACUGCUACUCAUUACCUAAAUACAGGAAUCACACCUCUUCCCACUUACAAAAAACCACAGACCCCCACACCCCUCACCCCAAAAGCCCACUAUAGAUACAACUGCAGAAAACAAUAAUCUAAAACAACCACUGCCAGGCGUGGUGGCUCAUGCCUAUAAUCCUAGCACUUUGGAAGGCUGAGAGGGUGGAUCAUCUGAGGUCAGGAGUUCGAGACCAGCCUGGCCAACAUGGUGAAACCCUGUCUCUACUAAAAAUACAAAAAUUAGCAAGGCAUGGUGGCACACACCUGUAAUCCCAACUAUUUGGAAGGCUGAGGCAGGAGAAUCGCUUGAACCCGGGAGGCAGAGGUUGCAGUGAGCUAAGAUUGCGCCACUGCACUCCAGCCUGGGUGACAGAGUGAGACCCUGUCUCAACAAAGAAAAAAAAACUGUUCAUUGAAAAGCCUGCACAAGCAGUUAAAUACUGACUACAGCCAUCAAGUGAUACAUUUCAAAAGGAAAUGAUGUGUGCAGGUACCUGAUUAAAGAUGGCUUGGUGCAAAGAUAAACACUUUAGACUACUGUUUUAGUAAACAUGAGAAAAGUUUCAUGUCCAGUUACUUGCUUUUUAAAACAUAAGGUACUUAUAACUUGAGUCCCACCUUUUCUAGGUUUCAAAUGAGUAAAGAGCUAGAUUUUUACUCACUGCAAAAUCAAAGCAUUAGGUCUACAAAGCAUUAGAAGCACGCCUAACUUUUUGUAAAUAAAAGAAAAAGUUUAAGUGACUUUUCAAAGCUAGAAAUGCAUCUGCAACACACAAGUUCAGCAAAAACCAACACCAUGGAUUUGGUAUUAACAAACAAAUAAAGGGUAUUAAUAUCAUCCAGCCUUGUUAUUAUUGUAUCAGAGCCCCAAAUAAACACCCAACGCAAGCUAUACUUGUAGCUGAUCACUGAAAACAGGAGACAAACUGUGGUUAAGAUAGAUUAGUGAAUGAGAUUUACGUGAUUACAGCCACUGAUUGGGCAGGAGAAAAUUAGGCAGAGGUGCCUCGUUUAUUAGACUCAAAUCAUCGUCUGUCACAUACAAGGCUGGGUUGGGAAAAGUAAGGUACAGAGAGCUAUGUGAGGUUUUCCUUUUAAUUUGCUUAAUGAGGCAAAGAAAAGACUCUAGAAUCCUGUUUUCAUAUAUUCUAAUAACAACUACUUAGGGAUAGGCCUCAUAUAAAAAGGAAAUAUUUCCAAAAAGCUGUCUAGCGAGUUUCAGUUAAAAGUUUAAAAAUCUUCUCAGUUUUGCCUCAGGCUGUGGUGAUCAACAAAAACACAGUAGAAAGAGAAGUGGGGCCUGGGAUAUAGACCCAUCUACGCCAACAACUCACAAAGUUGCUUAACUUCUCAAGUUCUUGGGAGGAACCCAGGUAACUGAUGCAAGGCUACUCUGAUAGAAAAUUUUAUAGUUCUGCAAACAAAGGCAGAAGGCA